CGCUGGCGGCAUGCCUUACACAUGCAAGUCGAACGGCAGCACGGGGGGUAACCCCUGGUGGCGAGUGGCGAACGGGUGAGUAAUAUAUCGGAACGUGCCCUGUAGCGGGGGAUAACCUAUCGAAUGAUGGACUAAUACCGCAUACGCUCUACGGAGGAAAGCGGGGGCCGCAAGGCCUCGCACUAUAGGAGCGGCCGAUAUCGGAUUAGCUAGUUGGCGGGGUAAAAGCCCACCAAGGCUACGAUCCGUAGCUGGUCUGAGAGGAUGAUCAGCCACACUGGAACUGAGACACGGUCCAGACUCCUACGGGAGGCAGCAGUGGGGAAUUUUGGACAAUGGGCGCAAGCCUGAUCCAGCCAUGCCGCGUGAGUGAAGAAGGCCUUCGGGUUGUAAAGCUCUUUCGGCAGGAACGAAAUGGUUCGUGCUAAUACCACGGACUGAUGACGGUACCUGAAGAAGAAGCACCGGCUAACUACGUGCCAGCAGCCGCGGUAAUACGUAGGGUGCAGGCGUUAAUCGGAAUUACUGGGCGUAAAGCGUGCGCAGGCGGUUUCUUAAGUCAGAUGUGAAAGCCCCGGGCUUAACCUGGGAACUGCGUUUGAAACUGGGAGACUUGAGUGUGGCAGAGGGGGGUGGAAUUCCACGUGUAGCAGUGAAAUGCGUAGAUAUGUGGAGGAACACCGAUGGCGAAGGCAGCCCCCUGGGUUAACACUGACGCUCAUGCACGAAAGCGUGGGGAGCAAACAGGAUUAGAUACCCUGGUAGUCCACGCCCUAAACUAUGUCAACUGGUUGUCGGGGGAUUAAUUCCCUUGGUAACGAAGCUAACGCGUGAAGUUGACCGCCUGGGGAGUACGGCCGCAAGGUUAAAACUCAAAGGAAUUGACGGGGACCCGCACAAGCGGGGAAUUAUGUGGAUUAAUUGAUGGCACGGGGAAAAACCUUACUACCCUUGGACAUGCUAGGAAGCUCGGCAAAGAUGUGAGUGUGCCGGAAGGGAAACCUAGACACAGGUGCUGCAUGGCUGUCGUCAGCUCGUGUCGUGAGAUGGUGGGUUUAGUUCCGCAACGAGCGCAACCCUUGUCAUUAGUUGCUACA
rnacentral:rRNA from 1 species